rnacentral:misc_RNA from 1 species
UCAGCGGGUAUCCCUACCUGAUCUGAGGUCAAUCUCUAAAGAUUUGGUUCAAGUCGCAGGAGGCUAGGAAGGGACUCGGUGCAAUGUAUCAACGAUGCAGAGAGGUCUCUCCUCGCUCCCUUGGACGAUGUCUUACAGGGACGUCCAGCAGGGGACGUUCCCCAUCUCCAGCGUGACGCUGUGGGUUUGUAAUGACGCUCAGACAGGCAUACUUGGGCGGUAACCCAAGUGCAAUGUGCGUUCAAAAAUUCAAUGAUUCACUAGAUUCUGCAAUUCACAUUACUUAUCGCAUUUUGCUGCGUUCUUCAUCGAUGCGGUAACCA